rnacentral:rRNA from 1 species
AUGGAMGAAAGUCUGACGGAGCAACGCCGCGUGAGUGACGAAGGCCUUNCGGGUCGUAAAGCUCUGUUGUUAGGGAAGAACAAGUACCGUUCGAAUAGGGCGGUACCUUGACGGUACCUAANCCAGAAAGCCACGGCUAACUACGUGCCAGCAGCCGCGGUAAUACGUAGGUGGCAAGCGUUGUCCGGAAUUAUUGGGCGUAAAGCGCGCGCAGGCGGUCUUUUAAGUCUGAUGUGAAAGCCCACGGCUCAACCGUGGAGGGUCAUUGGAAACUGGAGGACUUGAGUGCAGAAGAGGAGAGUGGAAUUCCACGUGUAGCGGUGAAAUGCGUAGAUAUGUGGAGGAACACCAGUGGCGAAGGCGGCUCUCUGGUCUGUAACUGACGCUGAGGCGCGAAAGCGUGGGGAGCAAACAGGAUUAGAUACCCUGGUAGUCCACGCCGUAAACGAUGAGUGCUAGGKGUUGGGGGGNNUUCCACCCUCAGUGNCUGAAGUUAACACAUUAAGCACUCCGCCUGNGGGAGUACGACCGCAAGNGUUGAAACUCAAARGAANUUGANCGGGGGCCCGCACAAGCAGUGGANSCAUGUGGNUUUAAUUCNGAAGCAACGNCGAAGAACCNUUACCNAGGUCUUNGACAUCCUCNUGACAAUCCUGGNNAGACANGGACGUUCCCCNNUUCGGGNGGAC